rnacentral:rRNA from 1 species
AUUGAACGCUGGCGGCAUGCCUUACACAUGCAAGUCGAACGGUAACGCGGGGCAACCUGGCGACGAGUGGCGAACGGGUGAGUAAUGCAUCGGAACGUGCCCAGUAGUGGGGGAUAGCCCGGCGAAAGCCGGAUUAAUACCGCAUACGACCUAUGGGUGAAAGCGGGGGACCGAAAGGCCUCGCGCUAUUGGAGCGGCCGAUGUCAGAUUAGGUUGUUGGUGGGGUAAAGGCCGACCAAGCCGACGAUCUGUAGCUGGUCUGAGAGGACGACCAGCCAGACUGGGACUGAGACACGGCCCAGACUCCUACGGGAGGCAGCAGUGGGGAAUUUUGGACAAUGGGCGCAAGCCUGAUCCAGCCAUGCCGCGUGCGGGAAGAAGGCCUUCGGGUUGUAAACCGCUUUUGUCAGGGAAGAAAUCCCUUGGGAUAAUACCUCGGGGGGAUGACGGUACCUGAAGAAUAAGCACCGGCUAACUACGUGCCAGCAGCCGCGGUAACAC